ensembl:lncRNA
AACAGAAGAUGCAGAUGUUUGGAAGGUCACGGGCAAGAAGUAAGACCCCCCCCCCCAGAUCCUACCAGCCGUGCUGCCCGCCAAGGCCCCAGCCUCUGCACUGUAAUCGGCUGUCAUGAACACCACGCACCUCCCCCGGCCGGCUGGCAGAUCCACACGACCCAGGCCCAGGAGUUUCUGGCCUGGAGAAGCUGCCAGGUGCUGACAGAUGUCGCCCUGUUGGGGCCACGGGUUCUCGCCUCUUCUCAUCACCCCAGACCCCGGGCUCCUCUCACACGGGGUUCCCGGAGCACAUCUGCACGGCCCUCCCCCAGCGAGGGAGACCUCCAGCUGUUCCCAUUUCCUCCUGGGCACGGACUCAUACUUGACUUGUUCGUCCAUCUGUGUGAAAAAUCUUCCUAGUUCUGCCGGAUGCCUAGAGCCGUGAGCUUUACAGAUGCAUAGGACAGAGGUCACUAGUUACUCAGGAUGGUGGGCAAGGCCCGUGAGGGUGUGACCCCCCCAGGGCCGGCUCCCGACACCCCUCCCAAGCCACCCGCCCACCAGGAGUUCGGGGGGACGACAGGCUUGGGACAGGCCCUGCCCAGCCCCUGCCCCAUACACACCGUGCAUCCUGAUGGCGCCCCAGCCAGUCACCCAGCACUGGUGCUCCGGGGUGACCUCACGCUGGGCCUACAAGAGCCUGACCGGCUUGACGUCAGCAGUGCUCUCCACAGAGUCCGACAGCCGGAGCAGGGCGAUGUCCACGCCCAGACUGGCGUCGAUGUAGCUGGCGAGGACGACAACACGGCUCACGUCCAGCAGCCUCCUGCCCCUGGAGAGAUACACGUCCCCCGCAUGGAUGCGGAAGUGGGUGCGGUCUGGUCAGACUUUCCUCCCCCCCGGGUUGGGGACAUGGUGCCAAGCUCGGCUGCACCUCUAGCCCCGUCCAUCCCCCGCUGGGCCCAGAGCAGCUCCCGAGGGAGACACAACGGACCAGCUGGAUGGCCUGUCCAGACCCACAUGUCCCAGUCGGGGCGAUCGUGUAAGUCUGGAGACAGUUUUGGGUGCCAGACUGUGGGGUCCUUCCAACAUGGAGACUGGGGACACGGCUAAGUGCCCUCCAUUGCACAGGGCAGCCCGCAGCAGAAGGUCUUCUGGCCCUCAAGUCUAGUGCCCCGGUUGAAAUGGCUGUAGUCCAGGCACGGCCAUUCUGGUGGCAGCAGACCUCGGCAGCUAGAGAAACCCAUUCUCCACAAGGGGAUGCCUGGCACUCGUCUCCCCUUGGCGGGUGCAGAAACCACAGCCCAUCGCAGCAGCCCAGAGCCCGGGGCUGUUCACCCACCAGAGCAGAGUUCCCACCUGGGUGCCGGGAUGCCCUUUAUACUGUGUACCGAACGUUGGCUGCAUGCAGGGAGAGAGUCCACUGUCCACGGGAUCUCAGACAGCUGGGAACUGCCUCCCAAAGACAGCCAGGCCCCCCACCGCCGCCGCCUGCCUCCCUGCCCCCGUCGCAUCUGGGGGCCGAGGGGCCCAGGGAGGGAGGCUAGCACACCUCUCUAGAGCAAGAGUCUUACUUUCUGUGGGGCUUGUAACGUGUGUGUGAGUGUGCCUGUGCGUGUAAGCAUGAGUGUGGGAGCCUGUGUCAGAGUGUGGGAGCGUGUGACAGCAUGUGUGUGGGCGUGUGUGCAAGCAUGAGUGUGGGAGUCUGCGCGUGAGCAUGUGGAUGUGCCAGAAAGAGCAGCUCUCCCUGCGCAGCCCUGGCUCCGGAUCCAACAGAGCCUCUCGGGGGCACAGGGUCCCCUGAGGGAGGAGGCAGGUGGGGAGGCUGGCCCCGCAGCUCCCGGAGCCCCUGUGCCCCGACGCCCACGGAGCGCCAGCCCGGCCCCCUUCCUGCUCGAGAGGAGACUCGGGAGACACACACAGACAGGGAGCCUUAGUCCUUGGCGACCCCUCUGGCCAGAGACACGGGAGAAGGUGGUGCGGCGCGGGCAGUGUGUCGGGCGGGGUGCACAACGUGCCCUGAGCCUCCACCCCAGACCUCCCGCCCGCACUGGCCUGGAGCGCAGACGCGCAGGGUGUCCUGGAAAGGUUAGGACAAGGGCCUGUGCAGAGAGCAGGACGCGGGAACACCGCCCCUUGGGAGUGGCCAUGGGCCGCCGUGGCCAGAUGUGGGACCUGUAGUGUCCUGGGCACCUCGACACCUGCGAAGGCGGGAGGAGCCCUGGGCCCAGGUGACUUCAAGGUCUGGGAGUCUGAGCCGGUCCUGUCAUUAUGGGAUGGGAGUAGCCUGCAUUCUUUUAUCUUUACGGGGUGCCUACCUGGAGUCAGGUGUGAGGUCUGGGUCAAUGGGGCAUUUUUGCCAGGACCAGGCCGGGGAGGUUGGCUGGCUCGGUGUCCCACAGGGUGUACGACUGAAGGAGAAGCUCCGAUGAACCCUGGAGGAAGUAGCAGGGUGGUGGCCUGAACAGUGUCAUCUUCCUGACCCCGGGCACCUGUGAACCUGACCUUAUUUGGAAACAGGGUCUUCGCGGUUGUGAGUUGAGGAUCUUAAGAUGAGGUCGUCUUGGAUUUAAGGUAGACCCUACAUCCAGAGACGGGCAUCCUUAGAAGACAAAGGAGAGGGGGUUUGAGACAAGGAGACUCUGGAGAGGAGGCGGCCAGGCUUCGGAGACCAGGCUGGAGUCAUGCGGCCGUGAGCCCCGGAUGCCCUGGGCUUCCCGCCGCCCCCAGGGCCUGUAGGGGGAGCCACCCCGCCCCACCCAGAUCUGCCGGGACGUGGAGGGGCGUCUGGGGUUUGACCCCACGCUGACCUGCAGCCCAGGAAGCUAGCACAGGUGUGGAGAAGGAGCAAAGACAGCCGUGGCUCUAACUGUUGGGUUCAGAUAAAGUGUUCAUUGCAAACAGGUGUGCUCCUGGCUGGAAUGGAAUUUCCGGUCAAAAGGGACCCUGAAACUUGGCAGGAGGCAGGAAGCAGCGGGCAAGGUAAGGCACCCCCACGUCUCUUGCUGGGAGGGGCUGCGAGCUAAAAGGACGGCCAUGCGUGUGCGUCUUCCUCGUGUGCCAGUCCCCUGGGUGCCCACGACGGGCUGGCCACCACCCCUUGAACCUUUCCCCCCCGGACCCAACACCAGAGCACGGAAGGGCCGAGAGCGCCUGCUGUGCGGCCGCAAGUGAGAGUUCAAACAAGUAGGAAGAGGCAGGUGGCGGAGGGACCGGCAGGCAGGGGCCCUUCGGAACCACGGGAGCCAGUGACCCACACAGCAUCUACGUGAGGAAACUUAUUUAUUUGAGAGAGAGAGACCCAGGUGCACUGGUGCUGGGGGAGGGGAGAGGGACAAGCAGACUCCCUGCAGAGCAGGGAGCCCGAUGCGGGACUCGAUCCUAGGACCUCGGGAUGAUGACCUGAGCCGAAGGCAGACGCUUCACCGACUCAACCACACAAGCGCCUGCACGUGAGGAACUUUGUAACUUUUUAAGGGGAUUUGUUGGUCCCAAGCCUGAUGCUCAGUGACUCAGCUGCACGGAGGGGCCACCCAGUCUUGUUCUGUGUGUAGAGAUGUGCGGGACAGGCAGAGCCGUGGACGUAGAAAGUGGAUCUGAGGUUGUCAGGGGCCGGGAGGGGAAACGGGAGAGCCGGCUCUGCGCACGGGCUUCUGUCCGGACGGGAAGCGACGAGACCGCCCGCUGCCCCGGGAGCUGGAUCUGGACAAUGGGAGGCUCCUCUCCCCCUCCCCUGUCCUUGGGAUGUGGGUUCCACUGGCCUUUUCACUCCCAGACGCUGCUCCAAGGACACAGCCCUGAGGUAGGGAUGUGGUGCUGGGAACACCUGCAUGGGGACUGAGCCCAGGGAAGGCCUCUCCCGACACCACCUCUCAGGCCCUGGUGGGCGGGUACAGGGACACAAGUUUCCACUGCUUAGGAACCCUGCCACCUACCCCCGUGGAGUGGCCUGCCUCUUCCUUCAGUCUCUGCCGGCCUUCCACGUGUGCGGCCGGUUUCAGAUGACACCCGGAGGCUCCCGAGGGGCCCGUGUGCACGCGGAGGAGGGCUCCCGGGUCCCUCUGCACUUGGCAGGACCUUUGCUGCAGGCCCUGGCGAGAUUCCUCCUUACCGAAUCUAUGAAGUCCCCCUCGGCCCAAGUUUGCUGAGAGUUUUAUCACAAGCGGUGGUUGAAUUUAUCAGCCAAAAGAAUCAAACGGGUUUCCCUUAUCUGUUGAGAUUACUACCAGGUUGUUCAUCUUGCUCUGUGAAGGUGGCCGGUUGUACCAGUAGAUUUUUCUGGCGUUAGACCAUCCUGGCUUGGACCCUCUUCCGUCUUAUUGUGACGUUUUAAAGACGGUAUUGGGUCAGGUUGUUCACGUUUUCUCUUGGAUCUUGAAUCGACGUUCAUCAUUGAACGUGGUCUGAACAUGUCCCUUAUUCCACGUGCACGGCGCUGUUCUCGGGGCGACACGAAUCUCACAGAACUCGCCGGGGAUCCCUCCUCUUCCUUCCAUUGCCUAGGGGGUUUGCACGACGUGGGGGUGGUCUGGCCCUGGAGGGCUGAGUGUCGUUCUUCCGGGAAACCACGUGGGACUGGUGUGUUAACUUGUACUCCGUCGUCUGGGGCGAUUGUCCGCUGCCCACACGCGGCUCCUCGGUGGUCACACGUCUGUCCGGGCGUCCCUCGUCCUCCCGAGUCGUGCUGAGCUGUGCCUGCCCUCACGGUGCCCAUUGCAUCUGACAGCAAACUCGGGGUUCACAGCCGGUCGAGUGUGUGUUCACCCCCGUCCUGUUCCUGACGUUGGCCUCCUGCCCGAUUCACCGCCCUGCAACUCUGCCUCCCGCUUCAGGUCCAGGACCCGACUGGUGGCUUUGCAGCCCUGUCAUUUCUUUAUGGUCUGUUUCAUGUGUUUCUUUUACUUACUUUUUAAAAAGAUUUUAUUUGUGUAUUUAUUUAUUUGAGAGAGAAAGAGAGAGAGAAAGCACAAGCUGAGGGAGGGGCAGAGGCAGAGGGAGAAGCAGGCUCCCCGCGGGGCAGGGAGCUCGACUCGGGGCUCGAUCCCAGGACCCUGGGGUCAUGACCUGAGCCGAAGGCAGCCGCUUCACUGACUGAGCCACCCGGGCGCCCCGACCUGAGAAUUUUUGGAAGUGUAUCUUUAGGUUUGCACGUGCAGGAGAGUUUGCGCCCACAAUCUGAUAGGAGAUCGAGCAGGUCUAAAAUAACAACGUAGCCCCGUCUUGGUUUGAACACAAGGUAACUGAAAGUGAGCUCGAGAGCAGAAAGCAGGCUGGGUAGUCACUGAGGGUGAUCAGACACCCCAGGACCCUCCCUUGGAAAUUCGGACAGCCACGAGUCUGGUGAAGUUGCCUCACCGCACGUGUUCAGCUGCAACCUGUUUGUGCAGAUCUCUCGCGUGGCCAGACAUUUCAUUUCUACUGGAGGCGUUUGGACCUUCCCAAUCCCACAGCCCAGUGACGGGUGCGUGGGGAGGGCAGCCCUGGGAGGCUCCCGGUGCAGGGAGACCCGCCUGGGACUAGAACAGGGCCCAGGGCGACAUCUGCAAGCACGUGGUGGGGCCUCCAGCCUCCCUCCCCCAAGCCUGCCCUGGAGCCAGGGGAAGCAGCCGGAAGUUUCUUCUGGGGAAACUGAACGACCUCAGGGGAAAACAAACCAACAAACAGAACCAGACAUUGCGGGUGUCCCACAGGGCAGCGGGUUUGGCAGGAUGACCAUCAGGCAAGCGCUGGGGAGCACAGGCACUUGGCAGUCAAGACUGCGGACCCGGUAGAGCCCAGCCAGGGCAGGGAGGCCAGGACAGGGGGCCAGGGCAGGGCGGCCAGGACAGGG